rnacentral:lncRNA from 1 species
GAACUGGGUUUCCCCUGUACUGCGGACAGAGUCUCCCCUGUAUGUUUAAGGCAUCGCAAUCAAUACAAUACGAAUGUUCCAACGAGGAACUGAUAUCAAUCAAGAUUGCAUAAUGGAAGGUAUCAAACAACAUAAACACAUCCUAGGUUAUUACAAGCAUUCACAUUCACCUUUUUAUAUCUCAAUUACAAUUUACUUCCUUUUCCACUAAAUGCAAUCUAAGUUAUUACAUCAUAGAUAUUACAAGUUUAAUACAUUUUGUUCCUUUCAUUUUCUAUACCCCUAAGCUAUGUCGACGGGGUAUCGCUAGCUCUGGUCUCUGGGGUAGGGCGCUAUCUACGGAGCUACGUCCUUUCCUCGCGCCGCCGCGCCGCUCACGUGCGAACCUGUAACACCCCGAAACAACGUGGGGUGAGAACCAACUCCAUGGUUCCCAGUGGGUACGGCCACCCAAGGGAAAAGCUUGACCGACAGAUUCAAAGGAGGCAACUGCAGGUUAGUUUAAUAAACAGAUAGAUAGAUAUUUUGACUAUGCAAUUAAUAGAACCAUACCUUGCCUCGCAAUUGUAACAAUGCCAUGCUAUAUGUAACUCAUGCAAGAAUGUACUACCAUAAGUAAAUCUCGUGGAUUCUACUUGUAUCUUGCUAUCAAACUUAUAUCCAACUAACCUCUAAGGUUUUCAUCUACCUUAUUCAAGCUAGCCACCCGACUCGGCCUCGAGUCAAUCAACUGCGGAUAGUCCGCGCUCUAUGCGGCUCUAGGUGAAGAAACCCUCACUUACACCUCAGCCUUCAGUCCACAAUCUCAUCGUCGACGAGUUGCCCAGAACUGCGAACACCCGUGGUCAGGGAUCUUUCCGGUGGGAAGGGGAUUAUACCACAAACUCAACCCGCGGCCCAAGACCCCUGAUAGGGAAGGGGAACGCGCCACACUCAACCCUAGCGAAUCAUGAAUCUGCCGACGGGAGGGGGAACCUGCCACACUCGACCCGCGGCCUCGAAUCAGCCUCAAGCUCAUCCUCGAAGUUCGUCCAGUAGGAGGGGACCCUGUCACACUCAACCCACUGUUCUAGAACUGUCGAGUUCACAAUCCUAAGAUUCCGAAAUUUACUUUCCAAGUCUCUAGGGUAAUCUCAAACCCUAUGAUAACGACCUAUCUAGGUCCAAUGCACUUUCUAUCCUAGGUCUAGCCGACUCUAGGUUUAAUGCCCUCACCACAUAACCUAUAUUCUUUAAACUAGGUUAACGUCUCUCUACCUAGGUUUCAUUAACUCUAGGUUCAACAACACUAGGAUCAAUGUCAACCUACCUAGAUCUUGAUUCUAGGUUCUCUUGUUUAACCUAUGUUCACGACACUAGGUUCACGACACUAGAUUCAACAUCGUUCUUAUUCAUCCUAGGUUCUCGAUCCUAGGUUCAUAUUCGACCUAUGUUAUAUAACACUAGGUUCGGUGCCACUCGAUCUAGUUGACCCUACUUGUCCACAUCGAGUUUCUAUAAUCAUAUAUAUACUCUAGCACAUGUCUACAAUGCCAUUAUGCAUCUUAUUUAACAAGCGCAUAUAAUGUUAUAUGCACCUAGCAUACAUUCCAAUGCACACAUAUACAUUACACUUGCAUCUACUUACUAGCAUGUACUUUCAUAAUGUUAAUAUGCCAUACCAUCUAACAUGUAUCCACAUGAUGCUCUUAUGCAUUUUAGUUCACUCAACAAACAUAUUAACAUGAAAUCGAAUACUUAGCAUCUUUAUAUCAUGUCGUCACCUAGCAUAUAAUUAUGAUGCAUUAACAUGCAACUACCAAUUAGCAUGCAUUUACAUAAUGCUAACAUGUAUAUACGUUUAACAAUUUCUCAUAACUCAUAUGAUUAACAUUCAUUUAUAUGCUCAUGUUCUCUAGCAUGCUUUCCUACAUGUCAACAUGAAUCUAUAAUGCUAACAUGUUCAUAUGCACAUACAUUUAUGCAUCAACAAGGAUUCACAUUCUGCUUUGACAUGCGGGGCGACCAAGUCGCUUCGGUAAGUACAACCCACCUUAGCUAGCUUUCCGAUUGCUAGUAGUCACUUGCAAUCGGCCGCCCGCGGCACCCGGCACCCGGUUUGGCCCGAUCCCUCGCGCGACCACCCGAACAGCCUCCAAUCCACGAUAUGGAAAUUAAAGGUCUUUGGUGAUGUGCCACGGUGCUUCAAAUCCGUUUUCACGAUUUUACGACGUCACCUCGGCCCUCCAGGCGGAAACGAAGCCUAAACGUCCGUUUCUUUAAUAACUUUGUAACGGCUCGUUGGAUUGCCGAACCGUCUUCGCCAACGCGUUUCGUUACCUAACAAUUAGAUUUACGAAGGGUUAAUUGAGAUCAAACCCAACUAUUUUCAAAAAAUUGCAUUUUGAACCCUAGGUUACAACUAUGCAAGAAAUCACCAAAUCCCUUCACGAAUUAAGCAUCAAUCAUCUAGAUAGCAUGCUAGGAUUCCUCUAAAUCCAUUUCUAGAGAUCAAAACCACAUAUCUAGAGAUCUACCAUGAGAGGGCUCAAAAAGCUCACCUCAAAACUUGCUUCAAACCAUGGAGAAGAUGGAGAAGAUGAAGGUGAUUCACUUCCAAGCUUCAAUCUCUACCAAUUUCUUUAAUUUUGGGAGAGAUUUAGAGAGAGAAAGGGAGGUUUCUCUCUCUCCCUCUACAUGCGUGUGUGUGUGUGUGUGUGUGUGUGUCUCGAUCUGUCGUGUGUGUGUGUCAUGUGUGUGUGUAUUGCAUUCGGCUGAGGAAGAAGAAAGGGAUUAAUCCCCUUUUACACUUUAGUCCCUCAACUAUGCACUAUUUAUUUCGGAUAGUUUAGAAACUGAUAUUUUUCGUCGGAGCACUUCUGAAUGUCCGUUUGAGCUCAAAUUUGACAGGCAGGCUCGGUUUUACUUAAUAAGUCCAAAAAAUUUUAAUAUUUCAGUUUCGACUCCGUUUGGUCACCGAAAACUGUACCGAACUGUAAUCUUUAUCAGAUAGCUUUCGGAUUCUAUUUCUCUCUUUACAGGUGUUAGAAUGGUAUGAAACUUUAAAUCUAGCCUCAUAAAAAUAUUUCUGACUUAUCCUCCAAUUUUCAUAAUUUUCUGAGACUGUGCAUUUUCUGCUAAUUUAUCGGUCCCGUUUCCAACAGAAAAUUCUAAAUCUUCUGUUUUCAUUCCGAUUUCAGCACAAGUNACAGAAAAUUCUAAAUCUUCUGUUUUCAUUCCGAUUUCAGCACAAGUCAUUUCUGACUUAUAUUUUACUUCUCUAAAUUCAAUAAAAAUAGCUUCUCACACUAUUUUCAUUUAUUUUUAUUUUUAUACCAAAAUUUGGUAUGUUACAGAUUGCGACACCGAGGCCGCCAUCUCCAGGGCCCGGUACUCCGAGGACAUCACCGGAUAUUGCGCCUCGGGGAGAGGAGUUCAUGGCACCACCGGCGCGAGCAUCUGUAGCGGGGGUGAUUUUCCCCGCGAUGGCUGAGGGAGCCCAGCGGGAUCGGCUCAUGGAGCGCCUUAGUGAGUUCAGGCGAUGCAGUCCACCGACCUUUGACGGGGAGAACGUGGACCACUAGAUAGUGGAGAAAUGGCUUAUGCAUAUGGAGAAGCUAUUUCGAGAUACCUUUUGUAGAGGAGAGGGGCAGAGUGUGGCUCGCCACACACUUCUUGGACGGCGAGGCCUACCGUUGGUAGUUGGAUAUCCUAGACAACCCCAACACAGACUUGGCAGCGAUCUCUUGGGCGAGGUUUAAGGAGCCGCUUCUGGCGCACUACUUCCCUACCAGCGCCAAGAGGAAAAUAGAGCAGGACUUGUGCAGCUUGGCCAGGAGGAGCGGUCUGUGGCCGAGUACGAGAGGGAGUUUUCUCGGCUACUUCACUGUGUACCAUUUGUGGUGCGGGAUGACGAGAAUAAGGCCCGCAUUUUUUAGCAUGGGUUGCGGCCUUCGAUCUUCCGGUUAGUGUAGUCCUCUAACCUCCAAACCUACCGGGAGGUUGUGGACCGUGCACUUGUAACACACUGGACCUUUGCAAAUUGCGAGGUUCGAGUGUUUGGUUGUAUUUCGAGCUUUUCCACACUUGGUGGAGGGUUGUAAAAUGUUCCCCGACCCGAAAAGUUCGAAAACUGGAACUUUGGACAAGUCCUGAGAGUUUUUACUCUCGGGGACCGGUCCCUGGAGGGAGAGACCGGUCCCCCCAGUGAGCAGUGUUGAGGCGGCCUGAGGCAAUCGGUCCCUGGCAGGCGAGACCGGUUCCCGAACGCGUCUUCGCAGUGAGAGACCGGUCNNNNNNNNNNNNNNNNNNNNNNNNNCACGUGACGGAACUGGGCGCGGGGGACAUGCGCCCUCGAGCGACGUCACACGGUGCUGGCGGUGUGGGACCUAGGUCUUCCCUCGAAGGCUGCCGCCUGCUGAAGUAGGAGGUCUCGAGUGCUUCAUCGCGCCUUCCUGCCGCUGCGAGCUACCUUAGCCUGUCGCUGCGCGCUUGCCGUCUGCUGCCGCAAGAGAUCAGUGAGGGACCGCAAGCUGGCCCUUCAAGUCCGGAACCUCACUUAGAUCCGGAAUUAGCGGAGGUCUCGACCUCCUCGGGGUGUGCCGCCAUCAUCCGCCCCGGCAGACUGGAGCGAGUACUCGGCAUUGUCACUACAGAACAUAAAGCGCAAGUAGUAAACCACCUAUCGCUUCCCCGCUCAAGUAGAUAAAAACCCCAAUCAUGCGAAGUAAGGAAGUGUCCUUUACUACUAACUCCCGCAUGUUACGUUGUCGGCCGUCAACGGUAACUUUCCGCGAAGUUAGGACCUUACACUCGAUCAAACUCUAACUUUUUUAGAGUUGUUAAGUUCACCCAAUCAGGAUCUUUCUGCUCACAAGUCGAAUUAGACUCGCUCUCCGAAGCCUAUUCCUAUAGUUCCAACGGCCUAAGGUUCGCUAAUCCCUAGACUCAACCCUAGGCCUCUGAUUACCAAAUUAAUCUGUACGCCCCGGGACCGGGCGGAGCGCCCUCCUGGUAGCGUGCCCAGACCCGCCUAUGUCUACAACAUAUUAAGGCGUCUAAGGAAGCGGAAGAAAAUGCAAGAAGAUGGAGCAUAAUGAAGAAUGAAGUUAACAAGCAACUAAUGAUAUCAGAGCGAAUAAGUUCUAAAAUCUUAUGCUAAUAGUAAUAGAAACAUAACUAAUACAUAAGUAGAGAAAUUGACAUAGUUAUAUACAGUAUCAGCCUCUUAAAUCAAAUGAAUGGUGGUCUCUAGUCACACCCCGGGCAAAGCUCAACGCCUCUUCCAAAUAAAAUACAUACGAGAGGUAACCACCUAGCAAGUCGUCUCGUAGGAAGUAGCUCGAAGCCAACACUCCUUCCCCGGUCCGUAGCCUCACCCUGAGUGGAAGGCCUGAAAAACAUCGAGAAAUGAGGGCGUGAGAAUAUAAUUUAUAGUUCCCAGUGGGCAAUUACUGACCUCAGCUCAUCUCCAUAGGCCCCAAAAUUAAGGGUAAGCAACGAUAACAAUAAUGAUAAGGCAAUAAGGAGCAUGUAAUAUAAACCUUGCUGAAAGAAAGCACAAUUGGAUGCCUAGUUUCUACCUAUGGUCUCAAGUAAACAUGAUGUCAACCAAAUGUACAUCUAUUCUAUCCCUUACAAUUAAGUGUCCAAUGGCACUAGUUAUUGUUGUUAAGCUUUUCAAUGCAUAUGUAGUGUUCUAUCAUGGCAACAAGUAUACUACAUGUCUGCAACACUAUGACUAAAAGCAUGUAAUGUAAUCCAACUACUAAGUCUAUCUAGAGUGAUCAUUCAGUCUCAAACCGUGUCCGAUUUCGAUUUCCAAUUGACCUACCCAAGCGUGUCCAGCUUGUCGCCUAAGUGCCUGUGUAGCCCACAUCCCUACUUUGGAAUGUGUCUGUCCCACUCGACCCGUAGGCUUCUCAAUACGACACCGAGCGAACAUAGGUCGCGAUAGGCAACUCCGGGUGCGCGGCUUGUGGGAGCGACCCUCACGAGCAUUGUCGAAUUGAGCACAAAUGGCAAACAAGCAAGUCACUGUCUCAAGUAACCAACCUAUGUCUCUACCCCACCCCCCCCUGGGUAUAGUCUACUAGGCAUCCGAAGAUCUAGUGUCAAAGUCAUAAUGUGACAGUCCAACACACACUUGCUCAAGUGCCUCUUUAUGAGACAGCUUAAGCUCCACAACUGAUCAUGUUUCAUUCAAGGACAUUAACAUUAACGCUGCUAUGCCCGUGGCCCCAAUUGGCCUCUUUCAUGACAUUGGCCAAUCUCGACAUAUCGCAUAAUCUCUAAGCCUCUCUAGGCUUCCAAAUAAUCCCUAAAUGUCACAACUGGUAUAUAUUUGAACAUGCAUGAAAGCAAGGUCGUUUCAUAAUGGGAUUGUAAUUUCAAGCUCAACUUAGAAUGCUAGGCCACGUAUGCAUGCUCUCUAAUAUAUACGAGGUCCGUCAAAAUUUACUACAAUAUGACCUAUACAGUUAAGCAUUCUAAAAUUCAUAUUAAAUAAUUUAACAUGGAAAUGCAUGAAUUUCUAUUUUACGAAAACUAUUUGCCAUAUAUGAGCAUUUGUUCAUACUCAUAGGCUAGGUUCAAACUCACCGAAUCGUCCGUAGGGGAUGCCUCGAUUCGCCGAACAAGUUGUCCCGGAGUCCCAAAACCCUAAAGUAAUGCAGCGAAGAGAUCGAGGGCAUUACGUACCAUCCGAGAGAUCAAACAAUUACUAGAGCAAAAAUGGCCAAAAUUGUACCUCAGAGUAGAAAUCUCUCCCAAAGCUCACAAAGAGAGCUAGAAGCCUUUCCAAUCCAGCCCAGGAAGUUCUAACCAUCGAUCUAGCCCAAAGCCUAGCAUAAAAAACCCAAAAUAAAGCCCUCAAAUCUCAUUUAAGGGUUCAUCUCCAAAAUCACAAAAACAAGAAAUCUAGAGGAGGGGAUUAAAAUGAUACCGAAACUCCUGUAAGCUCCAAAUCCAAAGCCCAAAUGCCCUGGCGGUGGAGUGCGUCCACGCACUAAGCUCUACAAGGCAGCUCAAGCCUUGCAAGGUGGAAAGAGGGAAAGGCGGUUGAGCUCCAAAGCUCCCUCAAGCAAAUCCCCUCUUCUUCUCCUCCUCCUCCUCUUCUCCUUCUCUCUGCUAGAUGUGGGGGAGAGGUUGAGAAAUGACGUGGAAGAGAGGGGGAAUGGCGUAAUAAAGACCCAUCUAAUGUAACAAAAUCAGUGAGGCUCUUCAAAAAUCCAAAAUUUGCAUCAGCCCGAACUGGGAGUUUUCGCCCAGAGGACGGUCUCUCCCCACCAGGACCUGUUCUCUCGCGGCAGAGCGACAAACCAGCGUUCGGGAACCGUCUCUCCGCUGCGCGGAUUUACAUGCUUUUAGCAUAGUGUGAGACAUGUAGUAUACUUGGUUGCCAUGAUAGAACACCUACAUCAUGCAUUGACAAAGGUUAACAACAUUAAACUAGUGCCAAUUGGACUUAAUUGUAAGGAUAGAAUAGAUGUACAUUUUGGUUGACAUCAUGUUUACUUGAGACACAGUAGACUAGCAUUCCAAUUGUGCUUUCUUUCAGCAGUUUAUUUACAUGCUCCUUAUUGCUUAUCAUUAUUGUUAUCGUUGCUUACCCUUAUUUUUGGGGCCUAGUGGAGCAUGAGCUGAGGUCAGUAAUUGCCCACUGGGAACUAUAAAUUAUAGUUCUCACGCCCUCUUUUCUCGAUGUUUUUCAGAGCCUUCCACUCAGGGUGAGGCUAGGGACCGCGGGAAGGGAGUUGCUUCGAGCUAGCUUCCUACGAGGACGACUUGCUAGGUGGUCUACCUCUCGUUGUAUUUUAUUUUGGAGAGGUUGAGAGCUUUUGCCCGUGUACUAGAGACCACCAUUUUUGUAUUAGAGGCUGAUACUGUAUAACUUAUGUCUACUUUUAUGUAUUAGUUAUGUUCUAUUACUAUUAGUAUAGAUGUUAGAACUUUAUUCGCUCUGAUAUCAUUAGUUGCUUGUUACUUCACUUCUUUCAUUUGCUCCAUCUCUUGCUUUUACUUCCGCUUUUCUUGUAGACGCCUUAUAUGUGUAGACAUAUGGCGGGUCUGGGCACGCUACCAGGAGGGCCUCCGCCGGUCCCGGGGCGUGACAGCACUCAUUGUGGAGGCUGGAGCGGCAGACCGUCAGAAGCGACGUGAGGCCUUAGACAAGGGCAAGGGCAAGAGGACAGCGGCUAAGGGUGCGAGUCAGAUGCACUCACGGAGGCCGCCGAGGCAUCCCAAGAGCCAGAGCCAGUUGCGAGGAUGUGGCCAGUCUACUUAGACGGGAGGACCUGACCGACGCCAGGCUCCGCGCUGCGUGAUUUGCGGUGGUCCCCAUUUCCCACGGCAGUGUUCACAUAGUCGGGGCAGGUGCUUUCUGUGUGGCCAGGAGGGCCACUUUCAGUCGGACUGCCCGAGGGGUUCAGCGCCAGCGCCAUCAUCGGCAUCAACACCAGCUUCACUGGGUCCCAGCCAGGGGACACUUCCUGCACCUCACCAGGCCGGGCGGCCACCUGUCCAGCGACAUAUGGAGAGGUCACGACAGUCCCCGAGCGGGCGCAUAUACGCGGCCUAGACUGAGGAGGCGGCAGCAGCCGAGAAUGUGGUCGCAGGUAUCAUUUUACUUUAUGGUAUUCGAGUACGAGCAUUGUUUGAUACCGGUGCAUCGCAUUCAUUCAUAGACCGGCUGUUUGCCGAGUUGCAUGGCAUCCCAUUGACAUCUUUGUUGCAUCCUGGACGAGUUGUUGUAGCCGAUCAUUCUUUAGAUAUUCAGGAGUUCUGCCCCAGUUGCCCUGUUCGGGUUGGAGAUUGGAUUAUGCCCGUAGACCUUUUAGCUUUGCAUAAACUCGGGGAGUUUGAUGUUGUCUUGGGCAUGGAUUGGUUGACUAAGUACUACGCCACUAUCGAUUGCAAGGAUCGAACUGUAACAUUUAGAGAGCCGGGGCAGGCGGAGGUUGCUAGAGUUCGCUAUUUGCGAUGACGGUUAGCUCCUCUCGAGCUAGGCAGUUGAUUAGUAGAGGCUGUGUGGCCUACUUGGCUACUGUUGUGUUGAGGGGUGAUGAUGAUGCCCCCAGGAUUGAGGAUAUCCCCGUAGUGCGGGAGUUUGGAGAUAUAUUUCCAACAGAGAUUCCAGGCAUGCCACCUGAUAGGGAGAUUGAGUUUGUGGUAGAUCUCGUCCCCGGGACUACUCCAAUCUCAAAGGCGCCCUAUAGGAUGGCACCAGCAGAAUUGAGAGAGCUGAAGGCAUAGUUGGAGGAUCUUUUGGAUAAGGGUUUUGUGCGACCGAGUGUGUCACCUUGGGGAGCACCGGUCCUAUUUGUUAAGAAAAAGGAUGGAUCACUUAGCUUAUGCGUGAACUAUCGUGAACUUAACAAAAUCACGAUUAAGAAUAAGUAUCCAUUACCGAGGAUCGACGAUCUAUUUGACCAGUUACAGGGAUCCAAUGUGUAUUCCAAGAUCGACCUGCAGUCGGGAUAUCACCAGCUAAAGAUCAAGCCUGAGGAUGUGUCAAAGACAGCUUUUAGAACACGGUAUGGACAUUAUGAGUUUACUGUGAUGCCGUUCGGGCUUACUAAUGCCUCGGCAGCUUUUAUGGAUCUUAUGAACCGUGUGUUUAAGCUUUAUCUAGACAGGUUUGUCGUGGUUUUCAUCGAGUAUUCCCAGAGUGAUGCGGAUCACGAGGAACACUUGAGACUUGUACUUCAAGUGCUUCGGAAAAAGAAGCUCUACACCAAGUUGAAGAAGUGUGAAUUUUGGCUUAGAGAGGUGGUGUUUUUGGGCCAUGUGAUUUCAGGAUCAGGCAUAGCCGUGGACCCGAGAAGGAUUGAAGCUAUCAAGGAUUGGCCAAGGCCGACGAGUGUCAUAGAGAUUCGGAGCUUUCUUGGUUUGGCCGGCUACUACCGACGGUUUGUUGAGGGAUAUGCAAGAUUAUCUACUCCCCUCACGAGGCUCACGCAUAAAGGCACCAAGUUCAUUUGGAUUGAUGCGUGUGAAAGGAGCUUCCAAGAGUUGAAGCAGAGACUGACUACCGCCCCGAUCCUAACCUUGCCAGUUACUGGGGCAGGGUAUGUGAUUUAUAGCGACGCUUCCUUUAAUGAAUUGGGAUGUGUUUUAAUGCAGGACGGGAAGGUGAUCGCAUAUGCUUCUCGCCAACUAAAGGAUUAUGAAAGGAAUUAUCCUACUCACGACUUGGAAUUGGCGGCCGUGGUCUUUGCAUUGAAGCUAUGGUGCCACUAUUUAUACGGCGAGCGAUGUGAAGUGUAUACGGAUCACAAAAGCUUAAAGUAUCUAUUCACUCAGAAAAAGUUGAACUUGAGGCAGCGCAGAUGGUUGGAGCUACUCAAGGAUUAUGACUUGACUAUUCUUUACCACCCAGGCAAGGCUAACGUGGUGGCGGAUGCGCUAAGUAGGAAAUCGACGAAAAACUUAGCGAUGCUUGUGGUUACUCAACCGCAAUUGAUCGAGCAGAUGAAGCGGUUGGAGUUGGAGGUGGUGGCUCCUGAUACACCUUUGAGAUUGAUGACUUUGGUGGUGCAACCUACACUUGUGGAAAGAAUUAAAGAAAAGCAAGUCUCCGACGUGGAGUUGCAAAGGAUUCGAGCUAAAAUGAUGAAUGGUUGCACCAGUGACUUCUCUGUGGACGGUGUGGGAUUGAUGCGUUUCCGCGGACGGAUUUAUGUACCGGUGGAUCUGGACAUUAAAGAAGAAAUUCUUCAAGAGGCACACCGGGCACUGUAUGCUAUACAUCCGGGAGGCACCAAAAUGUACAAGGACUUAAAGUUGCUUUAUUGGUGGCCCGGGAUGAAGAAAGACGUUGGUGAGUUUGUUGCUAGAUGUUUAACUUGUCAACAGGUGAAAGCUGAACACCGGGUCCCCGCGAGGAAAUUACAGAGCUUACCGAUUCCGGUGUGGAAAUGGAAAAAGAUCACCAUGGACUUUGUGAUGGGAUUGCUCUGCUCGCAUGCCGGGCAUGAUGCUAUUUGGGUGAUCGUGAAUAGAUUGACGAAAUCGGCACAUUUCAUACCUAUCCACACUACUUGGACUGGUGAGAGACUUGCACAGAUAUACUUGGAUGAGAUUGUGCGAUUGCACGGGGUACCUACUUCUAUAGUAUCAGAUCGAGACCCCCGUUUUGUAUCUCACUUUUGGAGGAGUCUACAGGAUGCCUUGGGCACGCGCUUGGACUUCAGUACAGCUUUCCACCCUCAGAGUGAUGGGCAGUCAGAGCGCACUAUAAAGACACUUGAGGACAUGCUUCGAGCCUGUGUGAUUGACUUCCAAGGAGGAUGGUCACAGCAUUUACCAAUGGCAGAGUUUGCUUAUAACAACAGUUAUCAAGCAAGCAUCAAGAUGGCGCCAUUCGAGGCACUUUAUGGAUGGAAGUGUAGAUCGCCACUUNUUCGAGGCACUUUAUGGAUGGAAGUGUAGAUCGCCACUUCAUUAGAGUAAAGUUGGCGAGAGAUUGGCUUUAGGCCCCGAUGUGCUCCAGGAAGCAGAGGACAAGGUUCGUAUUGCUAGGGAGCGACUGUUGACAGCCCAGAGUAGGCAAAAGAGUUAUGUUGAUAAGCGUCGACGAGACUUGGAGUUUUAGAUUGGAGAUCAUGUCUUCUUGAAACUCUCGCCGACCAGAGGGAUUAGGAGAUUUGGAAUUCGAGGUAAGUUGAGCCCCUGAUUCAUUGGACCGUAUGAGGUUUUGGAGCGUGUAGGCCCGGUAGCGUAUCGACUUGCUCUACCGCCAAACCUAUCGGGUGUGCACAAUGUGUUUCAUGUAUCGGUUCUUCGGAGGUACAUCCAUGAUUCGGCUCACGUGUUGGAUGCUACACCAGUGGAGCUGAGGGAUGAUCUGAGCUUUGAAGAGCAACCUUUAAGGAUUUUGGCUCGUGAGAUAAAGAGGCUGCGGAACGAUGAGAUUUCCUACGUGAAAGUGCUUUGAAGCAACCACGACGAGCGCGAGACCACUUGGGAGUUGGAGAGCGCUCUGCGAGAGCGCUACCCCCAUCUUUUUCAGAUGGAGGUUUGAGGUACUUUACUUUUGAGUUUCGCGGACGAAACUCCUUUUUAGGAGGAGUGAAUGUAACACACUGGACCUUUGCAAAUUGCGAGGUUCGAGUGUUUGGACAGUGUUCUGAGUUUUUCCAGACUUUCUGGCGGGUCGUAGACAAUGUUCCGACCUAUGGUUCGAGUCCCGAGGAUUGAGGUCUGAAGCCUAGCACCAAAACCCAAAAAAUCAGACUUUUGGUUAGCUCUCGGGUAGCCUUCAUUGGGCUGUGUACUGGUACAGGGUUGAUGGCUGUACCAGUACAGGGCUGAUGGUUGUAUCGGUACGGGAUGGUGUACUGGUACACAGGCAGCUUUCCAGCCAACCCGAGGCUCGGGUUUGGCUUUUUCGUGGGAUGUGUACCGGUACGUGGGCCCGUGUACCGGUACACAGUGACAGUUUUUGAAUUGUCUAAACUGUAGGGGUGUUUUUGCAUUGUGGCUUCUCUAUAAUAGCACCCACGCCCCUAGGGCUUUCUCCUGAGCUUGCCACAGCAAGAAUAGAGGUAAGGGAGUGUCACGCCCGGGUACCAGCGGAAGCAUAUCCGGCACGUGCACAGACCCGCCAUACACCUGCAGUAUAUAAGGCGUCUACAAGCAACAAGUCGAUAGGAGUAAAAACAUAUAAUAAGCCUAUCCUGAUAUCAGAGCAUANUUGGAGCUUGGAUUUGGAGCUUUGUUGAGGGGAGAUCUUGGCACUUAGAGAGUUUAGAGCUUGGAUUGAAGCUUCUAAAAGGUAAUCUACUUGUUCUCUCCCUCUAGAUUGGAAUUUUAUUGAUGGUUUUGAGAUGAAACCCUAUAUUGGAAACUUAGGGUUUAUUUUAGGCAUUUUUGAUCUAGAGCUUUUGGAGCUAAAUUAAUUAGAUUAGAACCUUCCUUUGGGUUGGAUUGGAAGGAUUCUAGCUUUCUUUUAGAGCUUGUGAGAGUUUUUCUCCACCCUAGGCGAGAUUUUAGCCCUUUUGCCUUGAUGGUUAAUGUUUGAUCUUAUAGUUGAUCGUAAUGCCCGUGUAUCUCUUCGCUCAAUACUUUGAGAGUAUUUUGAGACUCGUGGACAACUCCGUUCGGCGAAACGAGGGACUACGCGACGGUUCGGUGGGUUUGUCCUAACCACACAAUGAGAAAAUCUCAUUUGUGAUGAUUUUAGUAUUGUUAAAUGAUAAAACAUGCGUAAUCAUGUUAGAUAUAUUUAUUAUGAAUUUUAGAAUGCUUAACAUGCCUAUGUAAUGUAUAGUAAAUUUUUGGACCUCUAUGUGGUAGAGUGCAUGCAUGUGAGAUAUAGCAUUCUAGUUGAGACUUGGAACCAUGAUUCCUAUUAUGAAAAUGAACAUUACUUUCAUGCAUUUAACCUUCUUGCCCAAUCGUGACAUUAGGAACAUUGGAAGCCUAGAGAGGCUUGGGGACUUAGACUAUUUGAGAAUUGGGCCAAUGUCAUAAAGAGGCGUUGGGCCCGGGCUAUAGUGAACAUUGGUAUUAAGGUCUUAAUUGGAACAUAGCAUAUGAAUUGGGCUUGAUUAGUUGUGAUGCUUAAGUGUCAUAAAGAGGCACUAAGCCAGUGAGUGUUGGGAUAUCACAUUGUGACAUAGAGCUAGACCGUUGGGUUACUAGUAGCUAUUGCCAUGUUUGAGACAUGAGGGUUGGAUACUUGAGCCUUUGACUACGCUUGCUUGCCAUUUGUGCUCAUUCGCACAUGCUUGUGAGGGUCGCUCCCUACAAGCCGGCACUCCGGAGUUAGCCUACGCGACCUAUGUUCGCUCGUGCGGUAUUGAGAAGCCUACGGGGUCGAGUGGGACAGACACAUUCCAAGAGUAGGAAUGUUGGGCUACCACAGGCACUUAGGCGGCGCAAGCUGGACUACCUUGGGUAGGUCCUUAAUUGAAAAUGGAAAUCGACACAGCGUUGAGUGUGUUAUAAUCACUACUAGAUAGAGAGUAGUAGUUGGAUUACUUGGAUUUACUUCUAGCAUAGUGUUGGACACUUGAGUAUACAUACAUACAUGUAGUAUGCUAGGAGAUGUUGUUUAUUACAUUCAUGUAAACAUUGUUUACCAUAGUAAAGCAUGAUCUUCAUAAUUUCAUAAAACAAAUCAUGAUUGUUACUUGUGGUCAUGUAGGGACAUACUUGUUCAUUAUGAAAUAAAGGUGCAUCUUAAUUGAGAUAAUGUAGUAUCUUAGCAUUUUAAUUAUGCUUUCUUAAAUGCAAAUUAUUCAUGAUUAUUGUUGCUCUCUUUUUGACGUACCCUUUCUUUGGGGCCUAGUGGUGCAUUGAGCUGAGGUCAGUAAUUGCCCACUGGGAACUAUAAAUUAUAGUUCUCACGCCCUCUGUUUUAUGUUUUCUUUCAGAGCCUUCCACGCCGGGAGAGGAUAGGGACCGUGGGAAGGGCGUUGCUUCGAGCUAGCUCUUCUGUGAGGGACGAGUUGAUACGUGGUUUACCUCUCGAUGUUUUUAUUUUGGAGAGGUUGAGAGCUGUACCAGUGUAAUAGAGACCACAUUUUUUGUACUAUUUUGGACAGAUAUUGUAUAACUUUAUGUUUCACUCUUAUUGCUUUAGUAUUAUCCUUUUACCUUGUUGUAGAUGAUAGAUAUAUUUGUGCUCUGAUAUCUCUAGAUGUUGUUUAUCUUUGGCUUAUUUUUUCCGCUGUUGAUGUAGACGCCUUAUAUGUGUUGACAUAUGGCCGGUCUGGGCACGCUACCGGGGGGGCCUCUGCCGGUCUCGGGGCGUGACAGCUUUGUUUCAGAGCGGAAGGAGAUGACUGACAAUUUAGAAAAAUAUUUUUCGGUACUUAAACAACCUGAAACUGGUGCACAUGGUCUGGGUAAUAGCGAAGGCCUUUCUGACGAAGACCCUACGGCACCACCAGGAUAUUAUGGGAAAUGAUGAAAAGUUUUGAACUGGAUUUCCUUUUUUGGUGUCUUUGCUUUUGUUCUUUAUUCCCCUUCUAUGUUCUUUUGGGCGUUUUUUUUUUUUUAGGGCCCCUACUUGUAUGGAUUUAGGUCUAUCAAUAGGGUUUCCUUCGAAUUUUUUUUUGGUCUUUCUCCUUCAGCAGUUUCUGUGUUGUCUCUUAAGGAGAGCUUUUUGUAGGCAAUCGGGAGAGCUUACUAAUAUUAAAUAUGUUUAUAACUUAUGUUUUUUGAUCUUGAUUUUUCGGGUUGUUGAUAAGGUGAUGAUGAUAUAAAAAACAAAUGUUGAUCUCUGGUGUGUUGGGCUAGAAAGUGGCCUUUUAAUAUUGAAUAGAAGAAUUAUAAUGCAAAUCAAUAAAUUUCAGCUACUGGUGGUGAAAAAAAAUGCCGAUGGAAAAAAAAUUGCCGAUUUAUGGUGUGAUAGAAUCGGGCGAUUGCUAUGUAAGAAGGGGCAAAAGAAUAGUUAUUUUCGUCCUCCAAUUUAUAUUUGACUAUAAAAUGUAUACUUAGAUGAAAAGUUUUGUAUACUUAGAUAUAUGCUUCUUCAUGUUCACUCUACCAGUUUAAACUACCAAUUCCUAAUAGAUUAUUUACAGAAGAUAUGGACAACAAAUUAUUAAGAGAGGAAAUAGAAUAUGACGUGGAUACUCUCGGGUGUAAGCAUUCAAAAUUAUUUAGUGGUUUAAAUGAUGAACAACUAACAAUUUAUCGUCAUGCGGUAGUCUCUGUUAACUAAUUUUUUUAUUUGUAAAUUCUAUUGUAAUAAUAAUAGAAAACUAUUAUUUAUCUUUUUUAAUACUGUAAUGAGCGUUUGUUUUAUUUUAAACUAAUUAAUUAAUUUUACUCAUUAGGUUUAUAUUUUUUUAGCAAGAAAUCUAAUUUAAUUUCAUAACAUAAUUUUUAAGAACUUACUUUACUGCUUUAUUUGUUAGUAAAUUUUAUAGAGUAAAAAGACAGAGAUUAAAUUUUCUUAUACACUAUCCAAAAUUAUUAAUGAAACUUCAAGCUAUCUUUUUUUGUCUCUAGGCCUAAUAAUGUUCAUAGCAGAAUAUUAACUCUUAGCAAGAAAGUGUGAAAUCACAAGAGUAAUAUUUAAAGUUUUUUCUUUUUUUAAUUCUUUUAAAUAUUUUUUGAAAACGUGAAUACACAUGGGACCACAAAAUCUCUUCUACAGUCUUACGUUAUGCAAUCUAUAUAUUUAAGACUAUAUUAUCUAAUAUUUAUUGUGUAUUGUGAUAUUUUAAAUAUUAGAUUUGUGGAACGCAGCGAAAGUAUUCGUUCGUACCUUUUUGCGGAAAUGAUUCGCGUUACAACGCGACGAGCCCGGAUCGUAGAGGUUGGUUCACGUAUCCUUGGAUCAUCUUUGAAGGCCUUCUAACACUCCGAACUUGCGGUGGAUCGAACUACAAACGAGCACAAUCGCAAAUCCACCGUUCAAGUCCCUCUAGAAUAAUAGGUUAAUGGAGGAUGUGGUUUCUCUCUAUUGUUUUCUUAUUCUCUCUCUUUUUUUCGUUCCAUACAUUACGUUAUGUGGGAUCGCCUGCAUAUUUAUAAGGGAUUCCAAAAUCCUAAUAGCGUAAGAGAUAAGGCCAAAUCGGUUAUUAACUGUUAUCCUAAUAUGAUUAGAAUUCAUCUCUAAUUAGCUUUCCAAUUUAAAAGCGAGAUUAAUCCUAAUCCAAUUAGAUAACAUAAUAGGUCGGAUUGAGCCCAAUCAUGGGUGCACCCGAUUUGAUUUAACCGAAUGCCAACAAGAUUAUAUCAUAAUAUUUUAAAAAUUAUAUAUAUAUAUAUAUAGUGUUUGAAAAUUAUAUGAACAUAAAAGGUACCUUACUGGUUACUCGCAUACCCACCCAACAGCUCGCUUAUGAGCCGGUAUGGGUAAAAAUAUUGUUAUUAAAUACAUGAAUUGGCAACCUUUAGAAGGCCUCCCAGGGUUUCGGGGUCCUGUGGGGGCCACAUAAUUUUUUAAAGAAUUAAUUGUACAUUAGGCCCCAUGUCACGCCCCGGAUUACACGUUUCCCCGGGCAACGCCAACAGACCCGCCGUAUAUAUAGGAAUUUUUUCUGUAUACGAAGCUAUAGCUGUACCUGUAAAUAAAUCAAGCUACAACCACAAGGUAAUGAGCUGCUAAACUGAAAAACAUAUAUAUAUAUAACCUCGAGGGUUCAAGUACAUACAACAAAAUGUAUACAACAACACUCGCUCCAGCAAGUAUCCAGACAACAUCCAUAUGUACAUAAAACCCCAAAACUACCUGUGGGAGGUACUCCUCUAGCCCUGCAACUCGUCUGGAAGGGAUCUAACUCGCAACUCCCUUUCCACGAUCAGUAUCAGAAACAGCAUCAACCGCAAAAGAAGGCUCUGCAAAAAGGGUCAACAACUAGGUGUGAGAACUACUGAAAAAAGUAGUCCUUAGUGGGUACUGCUACCGACCUCAACGGCUCACCUACUAAGUCUACAGAAGUAUGCUCAAGGAUAGUAAAGAAAGCUGAAAAUCUUUACAGCUAUAUGCCUCUAUACUAUUACGAUCCAACACUAGCUAUCUGUAGAAACUGUAGAAAAAUAUGAAAUCUCUGACCCAAUCUCACUAGGGACUGUGAACACACCCGUCCCGCAUGUCGAAGCUACACUAAUUAUCACCACAUUGGGUUGUCAGCAGAGAGCGAGUCCAAACAGGACAUAACGACAACAACGCAAAAGUAGAAAACCCGACUCCGGAGUGGCACUCGUGGGCGCUACCCAACCGAGUAUGCAAGCGUAUCUCUGUCGAGCUCAAUUAGGCUCUCACAGGCUAUAAUCAAAGCAGAAGGGUCUAACUGGUCUAAAAACCAUAAUUUACAUGCCCUCGGCACAAUCUAAUGCAAAAAUAGUAAACUGGGUCCACCGUCAACCAUAAUGGCACCCGACAGUCCGGAACAGUCUGUACACUACUGUAAAAAUAAACUCGGCACAUCCCAGCACGAGCGUAAAAUCAUUCUACACUAUUCUGGAUAUCCACCGUUUACAAACUGCGGCGAUACAAACAAACUACAGCUACUAAAGCUAAAUCUGGUAGUUUUAAGAAAAUGACAGUGUAGAAGUUAUGGUUUUCUCCUAAGUCAAAUCGAAGUCCAACAUGUAUAAUUUGUUUAAACCAAUAAUUAUGCUCCAAAUUCAGAUUUCAAAGAACAUGCAAAUCCACGAAUUCGAGCUAUUAAACAUGAUAUACGAAACCCAAUAAUACAUGCUGUCAACUGAGGCUUCGGAGGAAAUUCGAAAAUUCUGCUAACUUCAAUCCACCUCAAAAGCGCGUCCAACAACGGUGAGAAGUCAAAAGAAGCAGAACCCACACGCUCGCUCGGCCUCCAACUGUGCAACCACGACGUGCGUACGCUCGAACGACUCUUCGGUGCAACAUCGACGUCGAUUGAGCGUUGUGGGUCCCUCAUUAGUCCGAGUAUUUCGGAUGGCGUUCUGGUAGAUCGAACAGUGGAAGUAAAAUCACUGUUGAGGAAAUAGUUGGUUAGUAACCAAGUUUGGCCUGUGGGCCUAGUAGUACCUCGAUACAAGAUAAGAGAGGGUCAUGCUUGUGUCGUCAGCAUGUAUAGGCAGGAAUUGCCUAAUGCUGGACUUAGUGUGGAGCGCUGUAGAGGUGUGUGACGCCCGAGUAUAGUUACUCGUAGAGUGCGGAUUUAGUUCAGUCGGAUGAGUGUGUUGGCAGUAGCACUUGAGCAUCCCUAGGUGUGAAGCGUGCCUGGGAUCACUCGUAGGGCUGGUGGCUCGCACUAGGUGCAUAGGAGCCGGUAAUGAUACGUUUGCUCGAUAGAGCAUGUCGUGCGAUCGAUAGUAUACCGAGAGUGCGAUUGUGACCGAACCCGAGAAUUUGUAAUGGUUUGGGAUUCUAGUUGCUCCUGGUUAGAGUGUGUGCGAAUUCCCAAGUGAGAAUUUCGCCCCAAUGAUGAUUGGGUCUACGUUGGCGAGCGAGAGGCGCUGUGCGUACGUUGAGACAGGUUUAGGCGGUAGGCCUACGUAGUAUUGGUGGCCUUUGUGUUAGAUGUAUGCCUUAGAAGCCAGCCAGGCCGACACAUAUAUUCAUUCUAGGACAUAAAUUUGUAUUUGACUUUAAAAUAUUAUGAAUAAAUUUGGGUUAUUAUUUUCAUUCAUGUUGUGUAUGUGUCCAUGAAUCGUCCAAGGAAUUAAUAAGAUGAUGACAAAUAUUUUCAAGUGUUGAGAAUUUGAGACAUGUGUCAUUGGUGGUUAAUUUCUAAAUGCUCCCGAUCAAUGGAUCAUCACGGGGACGGUGAUUGAUCCAAUAAGAUUGGUGCAUAGGUCGUUUCCCUUUUGGGUAGACGAGUCUCGAGUCGACAGUGUGGGGACACUGAAGCGAAUAUGCAGGUGGUUGUUAGAGAACAAGGGUACCGAGCGUGACCAACGCGAGAAGUCACUUGGAUGUCUACUCACUCGUCAGUGACUUACUCAAUUGUUGCAGUAGUGUGACUGGUCCUUUGACCUGCGGUGCCUCGGCUAUUCACAAUGAGGUUACUGUAGUUUGACUGUACAUACACUUGGUCCCUAGCCAUUCGGGUCCUUGCGGUGCAUGUUGGCUGCAGUAGGUUCAUUGUAGGAAUAGGGUGCGCACUUAGAUGGAAUCUAUCUCCCUUGGUAGAUAGGGGUGUUAGUCCUCUGUGAUUUAUGAGACCGAGUUUAGAAGACCUUGGUCAGGGCAGUGUUAAUAGCGGAAAAGGGUUUCUGAUAUUAGAAACUCGAGUCGAAUAAAUUUAACAUAUGACAGACGAUGGGGUUUGACGAUUUAUUCCAUAACCUCCGUCUAGUCGGGACUCAUGAUAGAAGGAUUGUAUCACACGGUAACUGCACAAAGAGGUUCAGUAUUCCAUUCUACUGGAAUGCAACUACAUGCUGCUAGGCGUCACUGGUGGAUUGUGAGACUCAUGAGAAUUAUCUAGAUGAUUGAUAAUUCUCAUUGAGCUGAGUUGGAAUUGUUCCGAUCUACUGAAAGGAGUUUCAGUGAUAUUAUUGAUAGUGAUCAAAAUAUAUCUCACUAUCAAAUAGAAUAAAACCUAUGGGGUCACACACAUAAGAGGUUGUAAUUGAUCGGAUAGCUAGAUCGCAAUUAUUGAAUCGCUGGAGGAUCUAAUUGUCAAUAUGUUGAUAAUUGGACUAAUUUAUAAUUGUUACAAAUAAGUGGUAUUAAAGUAUAAAUGUUACAAAAGAAGACUUACUAAUAGUUAGUAAAAUAUAAGAGGACUUAUGUGCAAAUGUUGCAUUAUUAAUUUGAUACGAUCAAAUUAAUAUAAAGUUCAAGUCGAAUCAAAUUAGGAUUUGAUCGAUCUAACCAAUUAAGGAAAGGAUAAAUUUAAAUCUAGAUUUGUAGUUAUCCUUAAUGGUUAUUAUAUUAUUAAAAAAAAGGAUUAUAUUCCUCUAUAUAAUAAUACGGAAGUUUUAGAAAAUCGAAGCCGUCAUCUCUCUUCUCCUCUCUCUUCCAUAUUCUAGCAAAUAGACGUCCUUUUGCAAGGGAGCUAGCACCCGGUCAGGACAUCGAUCAAAUUAAGAACCUCGUGUGGAUACCUAUAGAGGCCGGACGCGUGUGCGGCUUCAAGAGAACCCUAUUCCACGAUCAUCAAAUUGAGAUGAAGAUCUAUCCGCGAAAAAGGUAAAGAUUUGAUCUUACUUUUCUCCUUUAAUUUUAAAGAACAUGAGGGAUCCUAAUUGCGUGGUUUUUGAGAUUUGAUCUGGAAAGUUUUCAAAAAUCAAAUUUAUUUGAUUUCUUUUCUUCCGCUGCGUGUUUACCAUACGCAACUUUCUAACACUUUGGUCCAACUAUGGAAACCGAGGAAAGCGAUUUGGCAGAUAGCUUUAUCAAGAGGUUUGGCUCGAAUUCACGAACGAAGCAUUCGUGUGAGCUCGUUGCGAGAGUGAAAUGAGAUUGACCGUGGCGUAUGGUAUUAGAAGAUAAAGUGCUCUUAGUGAGGCCUUGAGCUAGUAACAAGCCACGUGGAGUUCGAGGAUUGGAAUUGGAAUAUAUUCCCCGAAAGGAAUGUAAGUGCAAGGAUAAAAUCUCUGUGUGCGGAUUGGCGAGUGGUGUUGGAGCGCGUAGAGUCGUCGAGUUUCGACUUGCACUGNGGAAUUGUUCUGAUCCAUUGAAAGGAGUUUCAGUGAUAUUAUUGAUAGUGAUCAAAAUAUAUCUCACUACCAGAUAGAAUAGAACCUAUGGGGUCACACACAUAAGAGGUUGUGAUUGAUCGGAUAGCUAGAUUGCGAUUAUUGAAUCGCCAGAGGACCUAAUUGUCAAUAUAAUGAUAAUUGGACUAAUUUGUAAUUAGUGGUAUUAAGGUGUAAAUGUUACAAGAGAGGACUUACUAAUAGUUAGUAAGUUAUAAGAGGACUUAUGUGCAAAUGUUGCAUUAUUAAUUUGAUAAGAUCAAAUUAAUAUAAAAUUCAAGUCGAAUCAAAUUAGGAUUUGAUCGAUCUAACCAAUUAAGGAAAAGAUAAAUUUAAAUCUAGAUUUAUACUUAUCAUUAAUUGCCAUUAUAUUAUUAGGAAUAGGAUUAUAUUCCUAUAUAUAAUAUACGGGAGUUUUUAGAAAACCCUAGCCGUUAUCUCUCAUCUCUUCUCUGUUCCAUCUUCUAGCAAGAAAGACGUCCUUUUGCAAGGGAGCUAGCACCCCGGUGAGGACAUCGAUCAAAUCAAGAACCUCGUGUGGAUACCUAUAGAGGCCGGACGCGUGUGCGGCUUCAAGAGAACCGAAUUCCACGAUCAUCAAAUUAAGGUGAAGAUUUAUCCACGAAUAAGGUAAAGAUUCGAUCUUACUUUUCUCCUUUAAUCUUAAAGAACAUGAGGGAUCCUAAUUACGUGGUUUUUGAGAUUUGAUCUGGAAAGUUUUCAAAAAUCAAAUUUAUUUGAUUUCUUUUCUUCCGCUGCGUGUUUACCAUACGCAACUUUCUAACACUUUGGUCCAACUAUGGAAACCGAGGAAAGCGAUUUGGCAGAUAGCUUUAUCAAGAGGUUUGGCUCAAAUUCACGAACGAAGCAUUCGUGUGAGCUCGUUGCGAGAGUGAAAUGAAAUUGAACGUGGCGUAUGGUAUUAGAAGAUAAAGUGCUCUUAGUGAGGCCUUGAGCUAGUAACAAGCCACGUGGACUUCGAGGAUUGGAAUUGGAAUAUAUUCCCCGAAGGGAAUGUAAGUGCAAGGAUAAAAUCUCUGUGUGCGGAUUGGCGAGUGGUGUUGGAGCGCGUAGAGUCGUCGAGUUUCGACUUGCACUGCCACCAAGAAGGACGGAAACCGUAAUGCACUUUGUGAGAUGCACUGUCACGCCCUACGACCACCCGCUAAUUUGGCCGAGGUCGCGGCACCGCCAACAGCGCCGAACGGACAUGGUUUCCCCUGUACUGCGGACAGAGUCUCCCCUGUACGUUCAAGGCAUCGCAAUCAAUACAAUGUAUGAAGUUCCAACCAGGAACACAUUUCAAUCAAGAUUGCAUAAGGAAGGUAUCAAACAACAUAAAUACAUCCUAUGUUAUCACAAGCAUUCACAUUCACUUUUUACAUCCCAAAUACAAAUCUUUUUCAUCCAAAUGCAAUCUAAGUUGUUACAUCAUUUACGUAUUACAAAUUUGAUACAUUGUGUUCUUUUCAUUUCCUAUACCCCUAAGCUAUGUCGACGGGGUACUGCUAGCUCUGGUCUCUAGGGUAGGGCGCUAUCUACGGAGCUACGCCCUUUCCUCGCGCCGCCGCGCUGCUCACGUGCGAACCUGUAACACCCCAAAAUAACGUGGGGUGAGAACCAACUCUAUGGUUCCUAGUGGGUAUGGCCACCCAAGGGAAAAGCACGACCAAAAGGUCCAAGGAGGCACUAUGAUCAUGUUAGUCCAAAAACAUCUAUAGAUAUAUAUAUCAUUAUGUUAUUAUGCAACUAACAGAUAACAUGCCUCACAAUAUGCAAUAUGAACAUUACGCAACAACUAGUAGAUCUAUUGAUUCUACGUUCAACUUUACUAACUUUAGCUCAUGUCAUUUAGCCUCUAAGGUUCUACUACCUUAGUUCACAACUCAAGUUCAACUUGCUUCUAAGGUCUCUAUUACCUUAGCUCUUACCUUUAUCACUAGCUUGUAAGGAUUCCAUUAACCUAAUCAAGCUAACCACCCGAUUCGGCCUCGAGUCAAUCAUCUGCGGAUAGUCCGCGCACUGGCCGCCCUCUGUGACUUAACCAGCUGGCAGCGAAAUCGUCGCACAUGCCCAACACUGGUUCAAGCCCCUUGACUUAGCCAUCUGGCGGCGAACGUAUCGCACGUCACCCAGCAAUGGCUUAAGUCAAUCCGGCGGUAUAAUCCACAAGCUGGCUUAACCAUCCGGCGGCGAAAUCGUCGCACACGCCACGACAAUGGUUCAAGCCUCGGGCGGUGAUCUUUGUGCACUCACCUCCCAAUCCUCCCUUGGUAUCAACCUCGGUGGCGAAAUCGUCGCACACGCCCUAGCCUUGAUACCAAGGUCAUCACAGGUCCUGGGAUUUCGGAAUCUACUUCCACAGGUCGAGAGUCCAUAACGAACCCUAUGCUGUCGACCUAAAACAUCCUAGUGGCUGCUACCACUAUACUCAACAACCUAGGCUCAAUGCCACUUUAAGUUUACUACAUGUCAUAACCUAGGUUCCAACACAUCUAGGUUCUAUAUUAUUCAUGUCCGACCUAUGUUUACUAACACUAGGUUCAUUGUCAUUCCUAUCCAACCUAUGUUCACGACACUAGGUUGGAUGCCACUCACCGAGAUCUAUUUAACUCUGGGUUCAUUCACAACUUAUGUUCUCUAACACUAGAUUAGAUGCCACUCGAUCUAUUCGACACCCUAGUUGUCCCAUCGAGUAUUCUAUAAUUCUCAUGUUCCUAUUUCCAAUGUCAAGUUCUCUACUCAAUCUAGAGUUAUAAACCAAGUUCAUACCUUAUGAAUCUAGCAUGAUAUCCUAUAUCAGUACGCACUUCAUCUAACAUUCAUUUCUAAAUGAAUAUGUCAUCCAGCACCUCACCAUGUCAACAUGCAUUUUAUGCAAUUAUCUAGCAUUAUAUAACUUGCACAUUAUGCAUUCUAGCAUUUCUACAUCACAUCAUAUGCAUCUACUUAGCAUUUUACAUUAUGUCAUUAACAUACAUCCCUUACAACAUGCUCGCAUGCAUUAUUUAGCAUUAACUACAUGCGUCAUCUACAUGGAUCAUCUAGCAUAUAUAUGCAUCAACAUGGAUUCCCAAUUCUCUUAGACAUAAAGGUGACCUAGUCGCUUCGGUGAGCACAACCCACCUGUUAUCGCGUUCCGAUUGCUUGUAGUCACUUGCAAUCGGCCUCCCGCGGUUCCCGAAUCCGGCACGGCCCGAUCUUGCAGAUGCGCACCAACCGUGCGCCGAAUCGCGGUCCCGGAAAUUAUAGAUCUACGGUUUGUUGCCACGAGACCCCGAUUCCAUUUCCAUGAUUUUUAGUCGUCGCCUCGGCCCUCCAUGCGGAAAUGAAGCUAAAUCACCUGUUUAUUCAAUAUCUUUGUAACGGCUCGAUGAAUCGCCGAACCGACCUCGCCAACGCGUCAGAAUACCUAGCAAUUACGUUUAUGGAGGGUCAAAUGAGAUCGAACCCUUAUAUUUACAAAAAUCCCAUUUCGGAGCCCUAGAUUCCAACUAGACAAAAACCUAUCUUUAAAUCUCUAGAUUCUAGCAUUUAUCACCUAUUUAGCAUACUAGGAUUCCAAUUAAACCCAUUAUAGAAAUCAAAACCCACAAUCUAGAAAGCUACCAUGAGAGGGCUAAGAAGCUUACCUCUCCAAGCUUCUCCAAGCACGAGGAAGACGAAGGAGAUGACGACAAUCCCCUUCUUGAUCUUCUCCUCCUUCUUCUUCUUCUCUUUCUCUCCUUCUCCUUCCUCUUCUUCUUCUCUUCUCCUUUCCUUUAUAGAGAGAGAGAGGGAAGGUUUUGGGGUUGAAACGGUGAGGGAAAGAGAGAGAGAGAGGUUCUAAUCCUCUCUAUACACCUAACCCUUGCACAAAAUGCCAAUAAGCCCCUCAACAAUGCCUCUCUUGCAACAGCCCGAACUGGGCAUUUUCGGGCUACGGGGACCAGUCCUUGCAUGAGGGACCGGUCCCUCAAUGACCGGUCCCUGGCUGAGGGACCCGUCCCCGAAGGUCAGAAUCCCAGACUUAGCCAAAUUUUAGCUUUUCGUCCGUUUUUGCUCGUUUUCGCUCGUUGGACCUCCGAUUCUUUUCAAAUCGAACUGAGACUCUCCAAACAUGUUUUUGAGCGUGUUUUCAUCAUCUUUUCAUCCACGCUAAUGCCGGAUUUAGUUCACGGCCCAACAUAGCCUUUCGGGUUUCGUUUUCGCACCUACGCGCACCGAAACGCCCGAUUGCUCCAGAACUUCACCGAACUUCAUCAGGACGAUCAAAUGGCUUUCCAACCGAAUGUACACCGUAACUUCGUAAUUUUAGAAAUCUGGUACCUUACAUCCUCCCCUUCUUAAUAAGAGUUUCAUCCUCGAAACUCUUAUAAUUCCAACUCCAAUCUAUAUCCUAACUCAACUUACUGAGUAACAAAGGAUAAAAUGCACUUUUUCACUUCGGAGUGGCCUUAUUCUCAUUGGAACUGUCCAAUGGCCCACUACGGCGGAUGUGAGACUAGAUUCAGUCACAUUUGCCAUGUGUAAGUUCAAAAGUGCAUUACCAUCAUGCAAGGAACUACUCUUUGCAUUAUACACCCAAUCGAGAAACUCACUCUGAUUCGAUCUCCGGCGUUGCUUGGAAGCAAUAUCGUUGGUGCAUCGACCAAUCGUGAGUGUUCCAAUCCCAAUCGGAUCCUUGCCCUAUCACGAGGUGGCAAACUCCAGAACAUCUCGCACCUCAAUCCACAAAAGAGCACUACCCUUAUACUCCAACUCACUCAGGAGCAUCAACUCCAAUCCUCGCGUGGCUUCCGUUAGCUCAGUGUCUCAUAAGAGCACUUCAUCCCUUCGCCAUUAUAAGCCACGGCCAACUCAACUUCGUUGUCGCAAUCAACUCACACGAACACUCCGUUCGUGAAUCUAAGCCAAACUCAUCCGCAGAGUUAUCGGCUAAACCGAUUACAUCGGCUUCCAUAGGUGGACCAACGGUCACUAAUACUACGUAGGCCUAUCGCCUAAACCUGUCUCAACUACGCGUAGCGUCUCUCGCUCGCAACGUAGACCCAAUCAUCAUUGGGCGAAAUUCUCAUUGGAGAAUCCACAUACACUCCAACCAGGAGCAACCAAGACCCCAAACCACGUCAAGUUCUCGGGUUGAGUCACUACACACUCUGUGUAUCCUUGGUCACACGACCUAGCACGUGGCAUUUCACACUCCCGGGUCUAAGCUCGAACUACCGUCCUGACCAAAACUCUACCCUACUCGUAGGUACCGGGCCGCUGUCACUCACAGCUGACUGUGCCUGCCCAAAAGGCCCAGGCUCUACAGUCCACAAAUGGUCCAGGCACGGAUCGUCCCCAAGAGAUACCCGCCGUCGUCGUCCUACAGGACAUACUCUAUCGAGUCACACGUACCACUCUCGGCUCCUAAGCACCUAGUGCGAGCCAGCAGCCCUACGAGUGAUCCGCGGCCCGCUUCACACUUAGCAAUGCUAAAGUGCUACUGCCAACUCGCUCUCCCGGCUGAAUCGAAACCGCACUCUACGAGUACCCACACUCGAGCGCUCUAUACGCCUCUACAGCGUCCCACACUAAGUCAAGCAUCAGGCAACCAUGCCUAUGCACGCUAACCGCACGAGCACUACUUACCUACCUCAAUUUGAGGUACCAUUAGGCCUCUCAUGCCCGUAUUCGGCAACUAACCGGCUAUUCUCCCAACAGUGCUACUUUCACCGUUCGAUCUAUCGGAACAUCAUCCGAGAUUCUCAGGCUACUCGGGUAUCCACAAGCAUCAUGGUCCAACUCUCGCAGUGUCACGCCCCGGGACCGGCAGAGGCCCUUCCGGUAGCGCGCCCAGACCCGCCAUAUGUCUAUACAUAUAAGGCGUCUACAACAAGAGCGGAAAAUAAAAUAAGAAAGCAAAAGAAUCUAACGAUAUCAGAGCAAGUAAAUAACUAAGUUUUACACAGAAGAGUAGGCAUAAAAGUGAAAUCUACAAAUAAAGCAUAGAGAGAUACAAGGAAAUCCCAAAUACAAAAGCUAAACAUCAAGAGUAUACAGGUAGUCUCUCUACACAUGGUUCACAAAAUCUUUCUCUCUCUCUCUCUAAAAUAAAAGAAAGAGUGACCACCUAUGCUCACGGGUAGCUCCCAGCUAUCUUGCUACGCGACUCCCUUGCCGCGAUCCCGUGCCUGCGCAGAUGCCGAAGGCUCUGAAAUAACAAUAAGAAAAAGAGGACGUGAGAACUAUAAUUUAUAGUUCCCAGUGGGCAAUUACUGACCUCAGUACAAUGCACCACUAGGCCCCAAAGAAAAGGGUAAGUCCAAAAAGCACCAAUAAUAAUAAUAAAUGCUAAACAACUACGUUGCAAAUUAAACAUGAUGUCGAAUGUGUAGUACAUCUACUUUAUCAAAAUAAAGUUUGUGCAAGCAUAACUAAUAUGUCCCAACAUAACGAGCAAGGAAGUAUCAUAAACCACUAUGUCAAUAUGAUGGAUAUGCUCUAUCAUGGCAACUCAGUAUACAAUGAUGCAAUAAAUAAACUAUCAAGUAUACUACAUGUCUCAACACGAUGCUAUAAGCAUGUCUUAGUAAUCGAACUACUAAUUCUAUCUAAUAGUGAUUAUCAUUUCUCGGUUGAAUGUCAUUGUUUCCAACAUAUUCUAGGACCUACAUAGUGUAGUCCAGCUUGUGCCACUUAAGUGUCGGUGGUAGUUCCAGCAUUCCCACUCUAGGAAUGAGUUUAUCCCUCCCGACCCCGUAGGUUUCUCGAUACCGCACGAGCGAACAUAAGUCUCGUAGGCCAACUCCGGAUUGCCGGCUUGUAGGAAGCGACCCUCACAAGCAUGUGCGAAUGAGCACAAAUGGCAAGCAAGCGAAAUCAUCGUCUCAAGUACCCAAUCAUCAUGUCUCUAGCAUGGUAAUAGCCACUAGUACCCAAUGAUCUAGUUCUAUGUCUCAAGGUGAAGUUCCAACUCUCACUAGGUCUAGUGCCCCUUUAUGACACUUAGACAUUUCGAUGUACAAAUAUGUUCCAAUUCUCUCAAUGGCUCUAUCCAUUAGGUUCAUACACAACUCGAGCUCAAUGCCGCUUUAUAACAUUAGCUCAUGAUCUCACAUGUCAAUCUUGUCAUAUGCCUCUUUAUGGCUUACUAAGAUCCCUUAAGUCUCAAGUAGGAAUAGCUUAAAAUGCAUGUAGGUAAUGCUCAUUUUCGCAAUAGGAAAUAGGAUUCCAAGUCUCAAUAGGAUGCCAAUCAUGUACAAGUCCCACUUGGUAGCCCUCUACUAUAUAAGGGCCCGAAAUUUCUCACACUUAAUAUAGGCAUGUUAAGCAUCCUAAAAUUCACAAUAAAUAUAUUUAUCAUAGAAAUGCAAGAAUUUUUACUCUACAAGUAUAAAACAUGGGAUAUGAGAAUUUCUCAUAUGCCAGGCUAGGUCAAAACCAUCGAACCGUCGUGUGGUCCUUCGUUUCGCCGAACGGAGUUGUCCACGAGUCUCAAAAUGCCCUAAAAGUAAUGAGCGAAGAGAUACACAAGCGUUACGAGCAACUCUAGGCCCAAACAUUAACAAUCUCAAGAAAAGGGCAAAAACUCACCUAGGGAGUAGAAAAUCUUUCUCAAGCUCCAAAAGAAGGCUAGGAUCCUUCCAAUCUAAUCCAAAGGAAGGUUCUAAUCCAUGAAAUUUAGCCUCAAAAGCCCUAGAUCAAAAAGCCCCAAAAUCAACCCUAAAUUUCCAUUCUAGGGUUCCAUCUACUAAAAACCUUCAAAUCAUGAAAUCUUGGAGAAAGAACAAGUUGCUUACCUUCAAGAAGCUUCAAUCUAGGUUCAAAAUCCUCUAGGUUCCAAGAUCAUUCCUCAACAAUGCUCCAAAUACAAGCUCCAAGCCACCAAAAGGAAGAAAAGAGGGUGUGGGUGAAGUUCCAAGCCUCCAACAAGCUCUCUCCUUCUUCUUCUUCCUCUUCUUCUUCUUCUUCUCUCUCUAGGAGCAAAGGGAAUGGUGGAAUGAGGGAAAGGAGAAGAGGAAGUAGCCAUAUAUGCCCUCUAGUGUAACAAAAUCCAAAGAGGCCCCUCAAAAAUUCAAUAUUGCAUCAGCCCGGUCUGGGCAAUUUUCGCCCAGAGGGACCGGUCUCUCCCCACCAGGGACUGGUUUCUCAGUCUGCCCCGAAAAUCCGACGUUCGGGAACCGGUCUCUCCCCGCACGGGACCGGUCUCUCCCCGCAUGGACGCGCUCGGGGACCGGUCUCACCCGCCAGGGACCGGUUGCCUCAGGGCUGCCGCAACACUGCUCACUAGGGGACCGGUCUCUCCUAUCAGGGACCGGUCUUCGAGAGUAAAAACUCUCAGGACUUGUCCAAAACUCAGAUUUUCAAACUUUUUGGAUCGGAAAACAUUCUACGACCCUCCACCAAGUGCGGAAAAGCUCGAAACACAUCCAAUCACUCGAAUCUCGCAAUUUGCACAGGUCCAGUGUGCUACACGCAGUAUACUGACCAUUGCUUAGAGAGUUACUUCACCACUUCGUGUUCACCACGAGUCCAACCCUCUUCCAAGAACCCUUACUAGCCAUUUGCUAGUACCACUUGUCUCUCUACCUGCUCCAGCAGUCGCCACACUCUCACCGCAUAAGCAUGCUCGGGUAUCUACCUGCCCAUUCCCUUGGUCCCUACUAUGCAAUGUAUAAAUAGUAGCAACUGACCAUAUGAUAAAUGCAUGCUAUGCAUCAACUUGAUAUCAAAUAGCAGCAUAUGCUUUCUUUAAUUAACUUAUACCUGCCAUGACGUCGUCAGUAGCGACAGGUUCCACCACUCGGGUCGCGUAUCCAUGGCCACUUCGUGCUCGCCGCGAACCCUCCGGUUGCAUCGUCCUCAACGGCCGUUCUCCCAACCAUGCCGCAGGUGGCACACCUACAGGCUGUCCGAGAGAGGAAUAGGCCGUCGCCAGUGUCAGUGCCCGGCUAUCACCUUACGGACACUCGUCCCACGUAUGGCCCGGCAGCCCACACUUGAAGCACUUGCCUUCUCGCUGCUCACACUGCUGUGGAUAAUGAGGGCCCCCACAAAUAACACAUCUCGCCGAGGACCGAAUAUGGUAUGUCCCUGAAGCUCAGGAUUGCGAGCGCGAACUCAUCGAAGUCCGUUGGGAACUUGACUGACCAUCGUGUCCGCUCACUGGCCGUCCUUUCCCCUUUUCCUUGUAAUAUGCCUAGCACUCCUCCCGCAGAGAUGCCUCGCCUUGUUCUAUCCAUAAGGCCCGAUCUAGGACUUCGGCAAAAGUCUGUGUUAGUAGCUGAAUCUUCCCGACCCUUGACCCGGUCAAAUAUCCUCCUCGGGGAGUGCGUCGGGGUGAUGAGCGGCUGCGAACGAUGACCCUCGAAGUUUGCGCCCUUCGACAAAUCAAGCGAUUCGACUGAUGAGGGAUCAGAUCAGCCGAGUUCGAAAAUCUCUAUAGUCGAUUCGGUUCGACUAAAAUGAGCCGAUGUAUGGACUGAGCAAGGAUUGAGGUCGGCCGAUGAGCUGAACGACUAAAGAAAACAAAGAAAACUGAAACUGAUCGACUCGAGGAGUCGAAUGCCUAAAUAACACAGAAACUAGUUGGCUUGAGGAGCCGAAUGCCUCUAUAUUGAUUGACUGGAGAGAGAAGUACAAAGGCGGAUAUGAAGUUUACAACGGAGUGAUGCCUGUGGGGCAGACAGACUCCAAAGAUCUAACUUAAAAAUUACUCCUAGGAAAAAGCAGUAAAAUUACAAGUAGACUACUACUAGAAAGUGUAGAAAAUUGCGUGGAAGAUAAAAGCGGUCUUUUGUGCACAUAGGCAACCUCCUUCUUUUAGGGCGUUAUUGGCCUAUUUAUAUGUCGCCCUUUGAUUAGUUACUCCUUUUUCACGAUCGGCCAUGACCUCCUAAUUCUUCGGACCACUUUCAGCCGAUCAGAACCGCUCACAACCGCUUGCGGUUAUUGUAACCUCCUCGAUCUAGCGCGGUUCAUGCUUCCCAUAAUGCUCCCGGCGCAUAUCGAAACUGUGGCUCUUGCGUAGACUUGGCGUGCCAGUUGUCCAUGCCGAAUUAGCUAAACAGUCUGUAACUUGAGUAUAAGUACAGCCUUGUAAAGGUCUGGCCGAAGUCCACGCACAAAGCAGUCGGCCUUGUCCUUGUCAUCGCGUACCACGUUCGAGAUACAAUGCACGAUACGGGAAAACUCCUGCUCGUAUUGCCUGACCGAACGAUCUCAUUGCCGCAGCUUCCGGAACCUUUCCUGAAGCUUUCGCUUUUCACUGUCGGAAAAAUAGGCAGAAACAGCAUUCCCCGAAACUCUUCCCAUAUCAUAGGAGGGAGACAAGGCGAUCAAUCUCGCUUGACACCUUUCCACCACACCUUCGCCGGCUGCUUCAAGUAGUGCACGGCUAGGUUUACCUUGUCUCGCUCCAACGUGUACAAAUCCUCGAAGAGCGUUUUCAUGGAAUCAAUCCACAUCUUUACGAUCCACGGAUCUGCAUCCUCUCCAUCAAAGGUAGGCGAAUCAAAUUUCUUGAAAGCCAUGAGGGCCGCCAAAGCUCAAUCCCUCUCCGCCUCCACCUCUGGACUAAUAGGGGUCGGGUUGCCCGACCCCGACGGAAAUGUCUCCGCCACGACUCCCGGCCGUUCUCGACGAGCCGCAACUGGUGCAGCCACCAGCCGAUCCACCGUUUCUUGGAGUCUUUUCAUUCGCUCCUCUUGGCCAUUGCAGCCUCCUGCUGAUGCUGCACCACAUCAGCCUGUUGCCUCACCACUCCCACGAGUGUGGCCAACUGAUCACGAAACUUUGAGUCUCCGCUCGCAUCGGUUUGCUUAGGGGCACCACUUGUCUCCUCCCGCGCCGAUCUCGACGAAGACUGCCUACGUCGUGCCAUCGCUUCCUGAAACAUGACAACUCGAUUAGUUCUCGACCAACUUGGGUCGAACACGAGACCACUAACACCGGCUCAAAAGCCAAUCAGGCGAAAGUCACGCAAGGACGUCCAUUCUCAUCACUCGGUUUCAUGUUGUCGUACGCCAACAUGAACAUCCUUGGCUGAGAAUAAAUCACACCUCGAGUCUACCUCUAAUAUCCGUCUUAGAGGUUUACAACACAACCUAAUCCAUUAAUCUUUCGCCACAAAUCAUAAGUCCUCGUCUCUCACGAGCCUUAGCCUCUAUGGUUUUACUAUCCAAGGGUCUCCUAGGUCAUCUAAACCAUUUUCCUAUUCUCUACUUUAUGCUCUGAUACCAUCUUCUGUCACGCCCCGCGACCACCGGCCAAUUUGGCCGAGGUCGCGGCGCCGCCGACAGCGCCGAACGGACAGGGUUUCCCCUAUACUGCGGACAGAGUCUCCCCUGUACGUUCAAGGCAUCGCAAUCAAUACAAUGUAUGAAGUUCCAACCAGGAACACAUUUUAAUCAAGAUUGCAUAAGGAAGGUAUCAAACAAUAUAAACACAUCCUAUGUUAUUACAAGCAUUCACAUUCACUUUUUACAUCCAAUUACAAAUCUUUUUCAUCCAAAUGGAAUCUAAGUUGUAACAUCAUUUACUUAUUACAAAUUUGAUACAUUGCAUUCUUUUCAUUUCCUAUACCCCUAAUGUCACGCCCCGGGACCGGCGGAGGCCCUCCCGGUAGCGUGCCCAGACCCGCCAUAUGUCAACACAUAUAAGGCGUCUACAAUAAAAGCGGAAGUAAAGGCAAGUNUCCAGGGACCGGUCCCCGAGAGUAAAAACUCUCAGGACUUGUCCCAAGUUCCAGAUUUCGAACUUUUCGGGUCGGGAAACAAUUUACAACCCUCCACCAAGUGUGGAAAAGCUCGAAAUACAACCAAACACUCGAACCUCGCAAUUUGCAAAGGUCCAGUGUGUUACACCUAAGCUAUGUCAACGGGGUACUGCUAGCUCUGGUCUCUGGGGUAGGGCGCUAUCUACGGAGCUACGCCCUUUCCUCGCGCCGCCGCGCCGAUCACGUGCGAACCUGUAACACCCCGAAGCAACGUGGGUUGAGAACCAACUCCAUGGUUCCCAGUGGGUACCAUGGCCCAAGGGAAAAGCUCAACCAAAAGGUCCAAGGAGGCACUUCAAUUAUGUUAGUCCAAAAAUAUCUAUAGAUAUAUAUAUCAUCAUGUUAUUAUGCAACUAACAGAUAACAUGCCUCACAAUAUGCAAUAUGAACAUUACGCAACAACUAGUAGAUCUAUUGAUUCUUCGUUCAACUUUACUAACUUUAGCUCAUGUCAUCUAGCCUCUAAGGUUCUACUACCUUAGUUCACAACUCAAGUUCAACUUGCUUCUAAGGUCUCUAUUACCUUAGCUUUUACAUUUAUCACUAGCUUGUAAGGUUUCCAUUAACCUAAUCAAGCUAACCACCCGACUCGACCUCGAGUCAAUCAUCUGCGGAUAGUGCGCGCACUGGCCGCCCUCUAUGACUUAACCAGCUGGUGGCGAAGUCGCACACGCCCAACACUGGUUCAAGCCCCUUGACUUAGCCAUCUGGCGGCGAAUGCAUCGCACCUCACCGAGCAAUGGCUCAAGUCAAUCCGGCGGUAUAAUCCACAAACUGGCUUAACCAUCCGGCGGCGAAAUCAUCGCACACGCCACGACAAUGGUUCAAGCCCCGGGCGGUGAUCUCUGUGCACUCACCUCCCAAUCCUCCCUUGGUAUCAACCUCGGCGGCGAAAUCGUCGCACACGCCCUAGCCUUGAUACCAAGGUCAUCAUAGGUCCUGGGAUUCCGGAAUCCACUUCCACAGGUUGAGGGUCCA